GCAGCGCCUGCAGGCUUUUUUCUCCAUCCGGGUCACACCAUCCCCAGAGAGACUCGCUCUGCAGGGUCAGGUUCAUGAUAAAGAAGGGUUUUAACAGGGACGCGCAUCUCCUCACCUAGUCUCCAUGAUUUCCCUGACAGCAGCAACACUUGGUCCUGCCCCCAGGUGAAAGAACAAAUCCACCCAGGCACUUACCAGGACAGUCGCAGGAUGGCACUUCCGUAUCUUUUGUGGCAGCCAUGAUUAAUUUGCAUUCGUUUGACUUGUGGAUUGCAGAACCCCUUGGUUGUGAGCCCUGUAGGCUGUAAAUUCACUGAAAGAUGGCAAGAGUGCACCAGGACCCCAGGACUCCUGGAGGCUGACACAGAACCACCCACUCAGCCAGCCUGGACAAGCCAGAGAGAAUCUGCCUCAGAAUCCAAUCAAAGGAGCAAGAGCAGAAGCUUAGCAUUUCCCAGGUUCAGUCCCCAGUGCGGCCACAAAAAAGGACGGACUCCAUACCCACUCACUGGUGCGGGAAGUACGAGAAAAAAGAGACCAGUGACACCAUGUCUAUGGCAUAAAGGCACUCAGCUCCCCUCCCAGCACUCUGGGAAGCUGAGGCAGAAGGGUGGAAAGUUUGAGCUCCAUCAGGGGAACUUCAUGACAUUGGGAAAGCCUGACUUAAAAGUAAAAAUAAGGAGCUGAGGGUGAAGGUCAGUGUAGGGCCUUGCGGUCAAGUGAAUGACCACCCAGUCCAAGAUGCAAUCUAGAACUGGAUGCUGGAUCGGGAAGGCCCUCAGGAAGCUUAGGAGUAUAGCGUAUGGUAUUAAAGAGCAGAACUCAGUGUGUCUGGUGUGAUAUUUAUACUGUGGUUCUGUAGAACUUUCCUGUUCUCAGAACAGACAUUCAACAGUGGGGAGGGGUCAGUGUGUGAAUAAAAACUUACUGAUAUUCCAUGUAUUCUUAAAACUUUUCUGUAAUUGUAGGUUUUCCUGAGUAAAAAGGUAAAGACAA